GACAGAGGGGGCAAGCGUUGCUCGGAAUUACUGGGCGUAAAGGGCGCGUAGGCGGAAUGGCAAGUCGGUCGUGAAAUCCUUCGGCUCAACCGAAGAACGUCGAUCGAAACUGCCGUUCUUGAGGAUUGCAGAGGAGACUGGAAUUCCCGGUGUAGCGGUGAAAUGUGUAGAGAUCGGGAGGAACACCGGUGGCGAAGGCGGGUCUCUGGGCUGACACUGACGCUCAUGCACGAAAGCGUGGGGAGCAAACAGG
rnacentral:rRNA from 1 species